rnacentral:rRNA from 1 species
UACGUAGGGUGCAAGCGUUAAUCGGAAGUUACUGGGACGUAAAGCGUGCGCAGGCGGUUUGUAAGUCUGUCGAUGGAAAGCCCCGGGCCUCAACCUGGGAAUGGCGAUGGAGACUGCAAGGCUAGAGUGUGUCAGAGGGGGGUAGAAGUUCCAACGUGUAGCAGUGAAAUGCGUAGAGAUGUGGAGGAACACCGAUGGCGAAGGCAGCCCCCUGGGAUAACACUGACGCUCAUGCACGAAAGGCGUGGG